UACGUAGGGUGCGAGCGUUAAUCGGAAUUACUGGGCGUAAAGCGUGCGCAGGCGGUUCGCCAAGUCAGGUGUGAAAUCCCCGGGCUUAACCUGGGAAUUGCGCUUGAAACUAGCGGGCUUGAGUGCGGCAGAGGGGGGUGGAAUUCCCAGUGUAGAGGUGAAAUUCGUAGAUAUUGGGAAGAACACCGGUGGCGAAGGCGGCCAUCUGGACCGCAACUGACGCUGAGGCGCGAAAGCUAGGGGAGCAAACGGG
rnacentral:rRNA from 1 species